UUACUUUAUUACACCACUGGUCACUGGACUUUUCUCCCAAAUUUGAAAUAUAAUUCCCACUUGAUUCAUGGGAUUUCAGAUCUAGAUAACACCAAAAAGCUUCCAGAAUUCCAUGUCCAACCCUGCACGUGCUUAUAUGCAUCACAUACUGAGCAAGUCUGAAUCACUAAAGACCAUCACCCAUCUUAUAAGAGAUUAGAAUAUUAACUUGGUCUUUUUAACUCACCAGAGGAGUAUAUCUUCAAGCUUUCUUCUGGAGUGACCAGAAAGGUAGAAAGCUUUUAUUCGUGUGGUUGAAUCCUUUUUCUAAUGGCUUAAAUGCAGAGAAAUUACUUAAAAACAUUUAUGUAAAGAAAUCUUGCUUAAAAAUUAUGGCACUAAGGUUACUUGAACACAGAUGAUUUAGCCAUAUAAAAAUUGAAACACGCUUAUUUUUACAUGAUUCCAGAGGAGAAGAAAGCUAUGCAGCAGGAAAUAGCUAAUCAGAAAGGAGUAUCCUGUCGUGCCCAGGGCUGGAAAGUCCACCUCUGUGCUGCCCAGUUACUACAGCUGACAAAUCUGGAACAUGAUAUUUUUGAAAGACUUAGCAACCUACAGGAAGGAAUUAUCCCAAAGAAAAAAGCUGCAAUUGAUGAUGAUCUGCACCGAAUAAAUGAACUAAUACAGGGAAACAUGCAGAGGUGCAAGCUUGUGAUGGAUCAGAUCAGUGAGGCCAGAGACUCCAUGCUUAAGGUUUUAGAUCAUAAAGAUCGUGUCCUGAAGCUUCUAAACAAGAACGGGACUGUGAAGAAGGUGUCAAAAUUAAAGCGAAAGGAAAAAGUCUAG
rnacentral:lncRNA from 1 species